rnacentral:rRNA from 1 species
CAGCGCCACGAGUGGCAAUCACAAUUAUUGGGCCUAAAGCGUCCGUAGCCGGUUUGAUAAAUCUUUUGUGAAAUCAUGGGGCUUAACUCCAUGUCGUGCAGGAGACACUAUCUGACUAGAGACCGGGAGGUGUUAGAGGUAUUCAAGGGGUAGCGGUAAAAUGCAAUAAUCCCAUGAGGACCACCAGUGGCGAAGGCGUCUAACAAGAACGGGUCUGACGGUGAGGAACGAAAGCCAGGGGAGCGAACCGGAUUAGAUACCCGAGUAGUCC